UCGAGCGGCAUCCACAAUGGGGGAAACCCUGAUGGUGCGGCGUCGCGUGGGCGAUGAAGGUCUUCGGAUCGUAAAGCCCUUUCAACAGGGACGAUAGAGCCGCAUAAUAACACAAUGCGGUUUCAGACGGUACCUGUAUAAGAAGCCCCGGCUAACUCAGUGCCAGCAGCCGCGGUAAGACGGGGGGAGCAAGCGUUGUUCAGAUUUACUGGGCGUAAAGGGCGUCUAGGUGGAUUGCCAAGUCAGAUGUGAAAUCCUGCGGCUCAACCGCAGAACUGCAUUUGAUACUUGUAGUCUUGAGUACGGAAGAGGGAAGCGGAAUUCCUGGUGUAGCGGUGAAAUGCGCAGAUAUCAGGAAGAAGACCGGUGGCGGAGGCGGCGUCCUGGUCCUGUACUGACACUGAAGCGCGAAAGUGUGGGGAGCAAACA
rnacentral:rRNA from 1 species